GAUGAAGAACGUAGCGAAAUGCGAUAAGUAAUGUGAAUUGCAGAAUUCAGUGAAUCAUCGAAUCUUUGAACGCACAUUGCGCCCGCCAGUAUUCUGGCGGGCAUGCCUGUUCGAGCGUCAUUUCAACCAUCAAGCCCCAGGCUUGUGUUGGAGCCCUGCGGCUGCCGCAGCCUCCCAAAACCAGUGGCGGGCUCGCUAUCACACCGAGUGCAGUAGUUUACUCUUCGCUCAGGGCGUGCAGCGGGUUCCGGCCGUGAAACCCCCUACUUUUAAAGGUUGACCUCGGAUCAGGUAGGAAUACCCGCUGAACUUAAGCAUAUCAAUAAGCGGAGGA
rnacentral:misc_RNA from 1 species